UACGUAGGGGGCAAGCGUUGUCCGGAAUCAUUGGGCGUAAAGGGCGUGUAGGCGGCCCGGUAAGUCCGCUGUGAAAGUCCAGGGCUCAACCCUGGGAUGCCGGUGGAUACUGUCGGGCUCGAGUCCGGAAGAGGAGUGUGGAAUUCCUGGUGUAGAGGUGAAAUGCGCAGAUAUCAGGAGGAACACCAAUGGCGAAGGCAGCACUCUGGGACGUGACUGACGCUGAGACGCGAAAGCGUGGGGAGCAAACAGG
rnacentral:rRNA from 1 species